UCCAUUAAAAAGUGUCCCUUGCUAUGUUUC
rnacentral:piRNA from 1 species